UUCCGAACUGCCGUUGACCGCAUGUCAGUCGGCCUUAACCGUUGAAUUCCGUUAAUUUCCGCGCAUGGUGACGACAUUGCGUCAAAAUGGCGACCAAGGUGCUAGCCCAAAAUAAAAAGACAGUUAUUCGAAUAAAAGGCCUCUAAGACUUUAAAAAGUGGUGCUCAUAGAAAACUUGGCAUGAUGAUCUCCUCCAAAGUGGUGAAGGUAGAUGCCAUAUAUGGACCACCCACUGACAGACCCUCUGUUGGGUUUGAAAGGUCCAGAACAAACCAGACAGGCUCUACCGAUCUGCUGGCAUUUGGAACUGACUCAUCCUUACUUCAUACUAGUCACUUUGAUGGGGAGACUUCCUCAUUAGGUGAUGAUGACCAAGAAGAAAUUCAAGAUAAAGUAUUUCCAUUACCUGACAACUGGCCUCGGAUCGCUGCCAUAUUUCGUCGCCGCAGUUGUGAGCUGACGACCGCAAACUCACCAUGUGUGAACAAGGCCAUUUCACACCUCGAGUUGCUUCAAAACAUCAUUGAGGACUGGAGUCGGGAGAAGGAAGAGGAAAUAGUAAAGAGCAAGCAGAACACUCCAAAGGGUUCAGCAAAAGAUGUUCGGUUUUCAGAAAGCAAGGGCAGCAGGCGUGGAAGCACUCGCCACUCAUCUGCCUCAGGGCUUUCUGUCUCUGGGACGGGGUACAAAGCACCGGAGAGAGAUACUGACUCAGAUAUGCCGUAUCUUGGUGCAGAGGAGGUCAUUGACGAAGUGAUGACACUGCUAGCCAGACUUGAAAAUGAUCGGCUGGAAACGGAGAAAGCACUCGAGCGUGAAAGAGAUCGAGUUGUGAGACUUGCUUCAAAAAUAGACUACCUCUGUCAGCGACGCUUGAAGGAACUGCCGGAAGUUGUUCAAAAAGAACAUGAAGAGUGUAUUACAGAUUUGAAUGAAUUACAGUGGCAUGUAGCCUACAGUAGCAGAAAUGAGUCACGUAUCAAAGAAAGGGUUGAGAUAGCAGAGGUUUUAAAUAAACGUCUGAAAGAAGAUAUAGAAUUCGUAAAGAAACACAUUCCUUUAGUUGAAGAGAAAUUAGAGUUGGAGUUGGAGGCGAUGACAAAAAUAAGAAAUGCUCAGAGAGAGACAAACCAGGAGCUUGACAACACCAAAAAUCGUCAGGAGAAGACAGAAGCGAAGAGCAAUGAGGCGGCUUCAAAGGCUGAGAAAGAACGUGGACACAUCAAGAAAGAACUGGACACAGUACGCGACGCUUUGUCCACCAUCAAUGAAGAGCUCUCCGAGGCCAAGAUGACGUACAAUGCAUACAUCCACCAGAUCAACGAGAUCAGUCAACAACUCAAGGAUAACGAUCAGGAACUUAAGGUCCUUGAGGUCAAGAAUGAGAAUGCCAAGGUCGCGGAGGAAAUGCAGGCAGCUAAGGUUGUGGACAUCACUUCUAAGAUUGGCGAGGCUGAGUUUGAGCAUGCAAGGCUUGAGUCCGAAAAUGCAUCCCUACAGUCAAAACUCAACACCAAGAAAAUAAAGUGGAACAGCACAAUUGAUGAACUGGAAAAUGGAAUCAAAAGGCUUGACAGUCAGUUGAGAAAAGUGGAGCUGAGAAAUAAAGAGGUGGAGAUGGAGGUGCAAGACCUUGUGGACAAGAAAACAGAAUGUCAGCGUCAGAAGGACAUGGAUGAGAGGAACAUCAAGCGUAUCUACAACGAGAUGCAGAAGAUCGGCCAGCAGCUGGCUGUCACAAUCCAGGAGUUCAAUCGGGUGGCAGCAAUUAAUGCCACCAUACGAGACCAGCUUAUUGGGGAGCAGGAGAAAACACACAAGAUGGAGGAAAGUUUGAAGAUCACGGCAGACAGUCUGAAGCGUCAAGUGAAGGAUGAAGUGCAUACAAAGUCUGUUCUAACUGCCAGGAUUUCUUCCGACACCCUUGACCUUCAAAAGUCUCAAGGGAACACACGGGCGCAGAAAAAGAAGGCAGAGAAAGUUGCUGAGGAGGUAGUAACUGCAGUAAGCAACAUCAAAGAAAAGGUUGAAAAACUGAGGUCUGCAAAAGAGAGUAAAACCAGGAAAAAGCGUGAUUUGUCCGCCCGGCGUGAUGAGACAGUCAAACAGAUGGCUGAGUCGGAGAAGAAGUUUGAUGAAAGGAAGACCAAGCUGGAACCCCACCAUAGACAACUCACGGGAGACCUGCUUAACGUGAAGAAGAGGAUUGACCACAUUGAGUGGAAGUCGGAUGUGAUGAGGAACCAGAUGGGAGACAUGGACAAGUCCCAGGGCAUGAUGGACCGCCUCCUGGCCAGCUCAGAGAUUGCAAUAACUACUCUCACUGACCAGCUGGGGGAGCUUGAUCUACAGCUACAGGCUGCACAGAAAGUGGAGGAUGACUUGAAACUGCACUUUAACAGCAUUAACACUCGAAUUCGUGACAAUCAGGCCAACCAUAGAAAGCUGAUGGAAGAGCGGAAAGCAAAGCUACGAGAAUUAGAGGCUCAGAAGACUAAGGGCAUUGAGACCAACAAGGAGAUGGCCUCCCAGUACCGCACACUCCAGAAUGAUCAGAUGGAAAUCAAGGACAAAUACAUGAACAACUUUGAAGAUCGCAUUAAACUGGAAAACACAAUAAAGGACGUUAGAGAGCUGCAGGCACUUCAGAUCCGCAUGCAUGGUGCCAUGAUGGAGUACUACAAGUACCGCGGCCUCUAUAACUCCUCCGAACUCUCCCAUUUGGAGGACAUGUCCAUACAGAACAGCGAGAAAGUCACCCAGCUGCAAUCAAGUAUGGACGUAGCGCUUAAAAACAUUACAGAGUUCCUCCAGACUCAGAUGACAGGUGAAGCCAUACGUAAAACUGCCUGGGACAAUUUGCAGAAAAAUGAGCGACGGGCGGCGUCUAAAGAGGCACGUGCUAUGAAAAUGAAGUCAUCGAGUACUAUUGUGGUUGCGUCCUGAAGCUGUUAUGUUUAUAGUUUACUGCUGGUUGAUUUUUGAUGGUUGUUGAUUGAAAACACAAAGUAUUAACAUUAUUUGAAUAUGUGAUACACAUUGAUUGUCUUUGUUAUUCAUUAAGGGUAUUAAGUAUGUUAAGCUUGUAUUGAUUUUAUCAUUUUCAUUAUGAUGUUUUAGUUCAUACUUUAAGUGACAAAUCAAUGUCCAUAUUAUAUAUUUUUAAAUAACCUGAUAUAUGCCAAACAUUUUAAAUGUUAGUGCUCAUUGUUUUCAUUUCUGUGAUACAUUUACAUUGGCUUACAUAUUUAUUCAGAAAAUGAAUGUUUAAAUAUUAAUUAUUUAUUUUUAAGAUCAUCGACAAGUGAUUUUGUUAGUUUAGUGAGGAAAUACUGUUAAGUAAAAGAUUAGGGGCUUUCAUAAUAUUAUUUCUUUGGCUGCUUGUCCACACUAGUACAAACAGCAGUGUUAUAAGAGUGUUAUUUUUUGUUACCCGCUGAUAACAUAGUAUCAACAUGGCUGUCUGUCUGUUCGCCUAUCUGUCUGCCUGUCUGUCUGUCCGUCCAUCAUUCUGUAUAUUUGUAUUUUGACACAGACUUAUCGGCAGGCGUUCCUCUACACUAUUCAACAUAAAUUAUUUAAACUAGCAGGCAUUGUUGCUUAUGUUUAGAAGUUGUGAAUGUGGACUUUUUAUGCCUUGAACUGUCCGUCAGUCCGUCCGUCUGUCCGAAAACUUUAACAUUGGCCAUAACUUUUGAAAUAUAUAAGAUAGCAAUUUGAUAUUUGUAUGCAUGUGUAUUUCAUGAAGCUUCACAUUUUGAGUGGUAAAAGGUCAAGGUCAUGCUUCAAGGUCAAAAGUAAAAAAAAUACAAUCCAAGGGAAGUAAUAAGCUUAAAAAGGGAGAUAAUUUCUAAACCUGCCAAAUGAUAUAUUUCAAUUUUAUUUCAAAGCGGCGCAAUAGGGCGCAUUGCGUUUCUGACAAACACAUCUCUUGUUCUUAUCCAACAUUAAACAAUUACAAACCUUCUGCCUUUUUUCAACUUAAACUUUCAAUAACAUGGUGAUUAUAAGUUUUGCACUAUUAACAGAUAACUAUACCCCUUGUAAAAAGUUGAGAGGUGUAUUUUAAAAAUUGCCAUGGAUGUUUGUCUAUCUGCAUUUCUGUCUGCAGUCUGUCGAGCAAUUUGACUGUCAAUAGACAAAUUCUUUUCCUUAGAUGUUUGCCUUCACUUUUCAACGUAGAACAUUCAAACUUGCAGGCAUUUAUCCUGUUAUAUAAUGCUGUGCAUGUGCAAGUUUUAAUAUCCUUUGCUAAAAUUUACAAAAGUUAUUCCCAUUUUUCAACUGUGUCAUGUGGCUACAAAUAAUGACAUUCUGCUUCAGGGAUUAUUAUUCAUCACUAUUGUGACAAAAUCUAGCUACAAGUAGUUUUUCUAAUUAUGUAGCGCCAUUUAACAAGUUGAAAAAGGUUAAAGAAAGAAAAUUGUUCAUCUAUAUGCUGUUAAAUAGUCUGCACACCUGUUCAAUAAUGAGGCGUUUGAAUGUUACAUUUUGAUUAGCUCUUAAAAUGAACAAUUUGGUAUCAGUAUUGUACUAUAAGAAUGGUCUCCGACUCUUACAACACUUAAGUUAGUGUAUGCAAACGUAUAUCUAAUGCAUUUGGGUGUGUUUAAAAUUGAGAUUUAUACAUGCGUGUAUGAACUGCUGAAAUUACACGAAAAAGUAAUAAAGGUGUUAAAUAUAUUGAA